rnacentral:rRNA from 1 species
CCUACGGGAGGCAGCAGUGAGGAAUAUUGGUCAAUGGCCGGAAGGCUGAACCAGCCAAGCAGCGUGAGGGAAGACUGCCCUAUGGGUUGUAAACUUCUUUUAUGCGGGGAUAAAGGUGUCCACGAGCGGAUGUUUGCAGGUACCGCAUGAAUAAGGACCGGCUAAUUCCGUGCCAGCAGCCGCGGUAAUACGGAGGGUGCAGGCGUUAUCCGGAUUUAAUGGGUUUAAAGGGAGCGUAGGCCGGUCUUUAAGCGUGCCGUGAAAUUUGGUGGCUCAACCAUGGGAGUGCGGCGCAAACUGGAGACCUUGAGUGCGCGGGAGGCAGGCGGAAUUCGUGGUGUAGCGGUGAAAUGCUUAGAUAUCACGAAGAACCCCGAUUGCGAAGGCAGCCUGCCGCAGCAUAACUGACGCUGAGGCUCGAAAGCGCGGGUAUCGAACAGGAUUAGAUACCCGAGUAGUC